UGGAUAGGUCUUCUAGACAGAAAAUAACAAGGGAACAGCAGCCUUAAAUAACACAGUAGACCAGAUGGAUUUAAUUGAUAUUUUUAGAGCAUUUCACCCCCAAAGCAGCAGAAUAUUCAU